rnacentral:rRNA from 1 species
UACAGAGGUCCCAAGCGUUGUUCGGAUUCACUGGGCGUAAAGGGUGCGUAGGUGGCCAGGUAAGUUCGGUGUGAAAGCUCGGAGCUUAACUCCGAAAUGUCAUUGAAUACUAUCUGGCUUGAGGGUCGGAGGGGAGACUGGAAUUCUCGGUGUAGCAGUGAAAUGCGUAGAUAUCGAGAGGAACACCAGUGGCGAAGGCGAGUCUCUGGACGACUCCUGACGCUGAGGCACGAAAGCUAGGGGAGCGAACAGG